CUGCGGGCGUCCUACCAGUGCCAGGACUGCCAGAGCGGGAGGAGCGCGGCGCGGGCCAGCCGGGACUGCUGGACAGCGGGGUCCAGGCUAGAGGCGAGCGAGCGGUCCACCUCCUAACAAAUUAUUGGAAGGAAUAUGAGAAAAGUGUAGACAAAGCGGUCCUGGCUCUGCGUGUGCAGCUCCACCAGCAUGCACAUGGUGGACCACUGGGCUCUUCGGAGUGAAGAGAACUCCAGGUGCUUGUCCCUUGCCAGCGUGAGAAACGCAUCCCGACCAUCCAUCAGAUCGCAGGGGAUGAGAGGAUCAGGAUCAACAAUGGGAGGCAGGGAGUUGGCAGCAGGGCCAGCAAUGAGGCGGAUCACAAAG
rnacentral:lncRNA from 1 species